GGUUUCAUUACCGUCCUCCAUUUUCCACGGCUAUUGCUCCUUCCCUCUCGCUCGUCCCCUCCCCUCUUCCCACCCCCACCACCUCCGCCAACCAGAGCCCACUCACCUCCCCCCUUCCGCUCGCCGCCCUCCCCGCCGGAUUCCGCGGCUCGCGGCGAGAGUCCCGAGCCUCGGGUCGCCGGCAACCGUGCCGGAUCCGGCGGGCACUCGGCGCGGCAGCGAGCUCCCGCGGCGUCUCGCGCAGAUCCGACGCGCGCGCCUACGCUCGUCGGGAGANNNNN
rnacentral:lncRNA from 1 species